CCUACGGGGGGCUGCAGUGAGGAAUAUUGCGCAAUGGAGGCAACUCUGACGCAGCCAUGCCGCGUGCAGGAAGAAGGCGCUACGCGUUGUAAACUGCUUUUAACCGGGAAGAAACCCCAGGACGUGUCCUGGGUUGACGGUACCGGAGGAAUAAGCACCGGCUAACUUCGUGCCAGCAGCCGCGGUAAUACGAAGGGUGCAGGCGUCAUCCGGAUUCAUGGGGUCUUAAGUGUGGGGAGGUGGGGGGUGUGAAAGCCUACAGCUCAACUGUAGAAUUGCCAUUGAUACUGGCGCUCUUGAGUGCGCUUGAAGUAGGCGGAAUGUGCCGUGUAGCGGUGAAAUGCUUAGAUAUGGCACAGAACACCAAUUGCGAAGGCAGCUUACUAAGGCGAUACUGACACUGAGGCACGAAAGCGUGGGGAUCGAACAGGAUUAGAUACCCCAGUAGUC
rnacentral:rRNA from 1 species